GCUGUUUUCACUUAGAGUGAUUCACAGGUCUAUUUUUACAUGUUUUUGGAGAGGAAGGAAGAACUUGAACUUGGCCUAGCUUGGUGACCGCCGGUGAGGUCAGGCAUGUCUACUGAGGGAAGGAGGAGAAGGUCCUCAGGAGGACUGCCAUUUCAGAAGUAUCAAAGACAGCUGUCUUGGGCCAGACUUGUGAAUGGGCAUGGUGAACCUGGAAGCAGGACUCGUGAAAGCAGUGGACAUCAGCAAGCGGUCAGGGACGGGGAGAGCAAGCAGAAAGAGAAGGCCACUUCAGAGCUUCCUGGUGAACAUACACGAGACAUUCUCUUAGGACAUCCGAGAAUAACUGGCUCUCAUCUGACCUGGGAGCAGAAGUCCUUCAGCAGCAUUUUCUGCCUGGAUUUCUACAUGUCCCAAGGACUCAUUUACCCUCACCAGGCCUCAUGUGUCUGCUGACCCCAAAUUCAUAGACGUGGUUGGCAGUGGGACAUGAGAAGGGGAUGCAGAUAAACGAUUUGGAAGUCUUGAACUUGAACUACAUGCAACCACAUCCUCUCUAUUCCACAUGUCAUCACAGGAAACUUCCCUCUCUCUGUGGCUGUGGUUUCUAGCACUGCUGUUCAUAAUGUGUAGGCAGAGUGGUUUAUCUUUUUUGAUUUAUUGGCAAGUUGCUUGCAUCACAUGGAAGCAGCUGAACUCUGUAACUGUGAACAUUGAAGGGAAGGAAUUUCCAUAAACGCUGUACGUUUUGCCAACACUGCUUCAGGGGAGGCCCACCCAUGGGUCUUUGAUAUUGCACUUGUGGUCACAAUUCUAUUCUUGUACAAUCUAUUAUGUCCAGAAUGAGGAAAAUGACAUAUUUUCUGGUCCACUAAUUCUUGUUAUCUCACCAAAAAUCAAGAGCCUCUCCUGUGCUACACAUUCUUUCCAUCUAGGGUAACCCAUUUCAAGCAGUUCCCAUUAAUAGCUUUUAAGUCCAUUUGGAUAUCUCAGUUUUAACUGAUAGCAGUAUAGGCACACUCUGCAACCUGUUUCUCAGGAUAUUUUUAUUAUAUUUAUUUUUAUUCACGGAGGACUUUUAAAAAAACGUUUGUUCCACUUAAACAUAGUGCUUAUAACUCAUUACUUUUGUAAAUUCUCUAACUGUAUUUGGCUCUUAUUUCACUAUCGUAUCUCUUUAAACACUUAUAUACUGAAUUCGAACAUUUCAGAAGCAUCAUUACAUGUAGGCUAAAUCUGAUUUUUGUUAAAUAUUCAUGAUUUCUGUUGAAGUAUAUUUUAUUUGAUAAGUAUUUGAUACUGUAACAAGAGCACUGGAUUUAAAAGCAAAAGGUUUAGGUUUAAAUUUUUCUCCUGCCGAGAAGUUGGUUAAUUCGUUAUCUGCAUGACUCUCAGUAUAUUAUUUAACCUCUCUGAACUUUGACCUCAAAGUUCAAUGAGAAUUCACGAGAAUGAAUGAGAAUGGAAUGAGAAGACCAACUUUACAGUUUUCAUACUGUUAGAUGUAAGAAAGUGGCUGACUCAUAAUAAAUACUCAAAGAAAUGUUAGUUGAAUUGUAAACUGUGAGGAAAUAUCUUGUACACAUAGUGAGUAAUAUAAGCACUGUUUUCAAGGAGAAAGUUUAAUCUGCCUAAGUAAGUAAGCAAACACUUUGAAUCACUUAAAGAAACUCAGUUUAUGGCCAAAGCGUUAAUUCACAUCACCGUUUUUAUCCAUUAUAUCGUGUCUGACUCUUCUCUGUUUCAGAAAGGUCUCCUAAUCCACGUUUCCAUUUCCUAUAACUGUGUUUACUCUAAAUUUUAUACUAACUGUUCUGUAAAAUGAUCUCAGAAUUCAGGCUUUGUGCCAAAUUAAAUUUCCCUUUGCCUCAAAUUAGGGAUAUCCAAUUGUAUUAAAAUGCCUUUAAAAAAAAAAAAAACAGAAAAAAGGCAAUAGAGGAUCAGAAGACUAGGGAAAAUAUUACAAUACUAGAUAACAAAGGAUUAAUGAAAUAUAUGUAUACAUAUACAUAUAUAAGUAUUUUAAAUAUAUACGACUGGUAAAUGCUGAAAUAGAAAAGUGAUUAAGACAGCGGUGGUGCUAGUUGGAAACAGAUGGCAUACCCAAAGCAGUAAUUGAAGAGAGCUCAAUGAUGGGGCUAUUUGUAGAGGGCUGGGCAGGUUAAGAAAACUGCAAGGAUGGGGAAGCAUCCGGGAAGCAACAGCAGAGCCCUUUUCCAUGCUUGGCCCGAAGGGGCAUGCUGGGAGCAAUGUUACCAGAACCUGCCUGUGAAAGGGGAGCUUCCAGACAAGAAUUGUGUCGAUAGACAGAGAAACACAGCUAUCGCCAAACCCUUGGCCUGACCUGGUGGAGGGGAGCAGGAGGCACUCCUGCCCUCUAACACCCUUCAGGGGUCAUCAUUGGACCAACCCAGCAGGAUGCUGGAGGGUUGGAGAGCCUGGGUGAAGCCCUCUCCUGGGACAUGGAGCAUAGCAGAGUGAGACUGGGGCAAAGUGAUCAAGGAGAGUCACCAGCCAGCAGGAGAGGGCGGGAGACAAACAGCAAUGGCUCAUGGAGAUGGAAAAAUGUUCAGUAUCACUAGGCUGCUGAUAUGUGAGAGAAUGGCAAUAUUUGGUGUGGGAAACAGCUGUUCUUCUGCUUUUCUAUAUUGCUGCUGUGAGAAUGCAUUGGUCCCACUUCCCUGGGAAGCAACUGAGCAGUAUACGGAAGACAUAUUGAAACUUUGCACUCCUUUAGACUUAAAUUUAUCCUAGAGAAAUGUAUCCUAAAGAAAUAAUUGGAAUACAGUCUAAAAAGAUCAUUGCACAAGUUCACAAAAAUGACUAUACAGGAAAGUUUAUCACAUCAACUAUUGUAAUAGCAAAAUUUGAAAGAUACCUAAAUGUACAGUAAUGGGGAUUGGCUAAAUUGCCACAUAUGUCUAUAUAUCUCUCUUUAAUAGUGCCAUAUUAUCGUAAACGUUAAGAAAGAUGUUGUAAAUCAACAUUUAUUGUCAUAGAAAAAGACUCACCAUAUGUUGCUAAAUGCACAAAGCAGUAUUACUAGUUUUUAGACUAGUUGAAGUCCAGGUUGCCUAAUCAGAAAGGGGAAAAGCUAGGGUUCUAAACUAAGCUUGAGGAGUGCCAUGGGCCAUGUGCUCUCCACUUUCCAAGUUCUUUGUGAUUCAUCCUUAGGAAGCAGACUAUGCCUAAGACUGCCAAAAGGAAAUUACACAAGGGUCUCUUGGGUGGGUUGGUGAGGUCUGUGGGGUCUCCUUGGCAUCAGAUUCUGGUCUCUGUUCUCUCUUGACCUGUCUCAGCUAUGACCAAAUUUUAGAAACUUAUAGAUCCCGUCAUCCCGAAAGCAUUUCAAAAGCAAGAGGUAGGGGAGAG